UGUUUGUCGUUCUUCUUUGUUGCUUUGAGGUGUUUUGAGUAGGAACUGGAUGAGUAGCCUCUGGACUUCAUGCUGUGUGUUGCUGUUAUUUCUUGGGUUGAGUCCUAGCAGUUCGAGUGCAGGACAUUUUUGAAGGACGUGCUUUGUUGACUCAUCUCCAUCUUCGCAGAACUGGCAGGUGGAGUCUAGUUGGUUGUUGAAUCGAGCCAGGUUGGCUUUCAGCCUGUUGUGCCCUGUUCUGUGUUUGAACAAGACUCUUGUGAUUUUUCGUGA